GACGAACGCUGGCGGCGUGCUUAACACAUGCAAGUCGAACGGAAAGGCCCUGCUUUUGUGGGGUGCUCGAGUGGCGAACGGGGGAGUAACACGUGAGUAACCUGCCCUUGACUUUGGGAUAACUUCAGGAAACUGGGGCUAAUACCGGAUAGGAGCUCCUGCUGCAUGGUGGGGGUUGGAAAGUUUCGGCGGUUGGGGAUGGACUCGCGGCUUAUCAGCUUGUUGGUGGGGUAGUGGCUGACCAAGGCUUUGACGGGUAGCCGGCCUGAGAGGGUGACCGGCCACAUUAGGACUGGGAUACGACCCAGACUCCUACGGGAGGCAGCAGAGGGGAAUAUUACCCAAUGGGCGGAAGCCUGAUGCAGCAACGCCGCGUGCGGGAUAACGGCCUUCGGGUUGUAAACCGCUUUCGCCUGUGACGAAGCGUGAGUGACGGUACUGGGUAAAGAAGCACCGGCUAACUACGUG
rnacentral:rRNA from 1 species